GCUCACUUCAGCAGAACAUAUGCUAAAAUUAGAAUGAUACAAAAAAGAUUAGUGUGGCCCCUGCACAAGAAUGACAUAAAUUCAUGAAGAAGUCCACGCUUAA